rnacentral:rRNA from 1 species
CCCUUAGACGUUCUGGGCCGCACGCGCGCUACACUGACGAAGGCAACGAGCUUUCCUUUACCGAAAGGUACGGGUAAUCUUUUGAAACUUCGUCGUGCUGGGGAUAGAUCCUUGCAAUUUUUGAUCUUAAACGAGGAAUUCCUAGUAAGCGCAAGUCAUCAACUUGCGUUGAUUACGUCCCUGCCCUUUGUACACACCGCCCGUCGCUACUACCGAUUGAAUGGUUUAGUGAGAUCUCUGGAUUGACGCUGGCUAGGGGGCGACCCUUGGCCAGACUGUUGAGAAACUGCUCAAACUUGAUCAUUUAGAGGAAGUAAAAGUCGUAACA